GUUUGUUCCAUUCCUCGGAGCUCUGGGGCUCUGCUGAGGGUCUCCGAACUGGGUGGGCAGGGCUCCAGGCAUCCACGCCCACUCCUGCCCUUCAGAUGUUUUGACUGAUUGAACGAACAUCCAGGUCAGAUUUUAUUUAAAGAAAAUGUAUUUUCAGUGGACAUUUGCAGAGGGCUGACCUGGAGUCAGGGAGGCCUGGGAAGUGCUGGGCCCUGGAGACUGUGGGGUCGGAGGCUCAAAGUCCCGGGUCCUGUGUAGCCUUGAGCAGAGCGGCUAGCCUUUCUGGGCCUCAUCUGUCCUUCUGGGAAGUGGAGUCACAGCUGCCCGACAGGAGCUGAGUGCAGGGCUGGGGGACUGUGGUGCUUGGAGGUGCAGAGGUUUCAGACUUCCCCUGCCCUGGGGCACCUGCUGCUUGGUCGAGCCAGCCUUCCACGGGUUGGAGAGCUUGCCUGUAGCACCUGGCAUCCCUUGUCUAGCACACGCCCAUCACCAAGGUGUGCCCUCACUGAGAGCAGGAGUGGCAGGGGCUCAGUACUGUCGGCCCCAAGCUGUGACUCUGGCGCUAACCCACAGGGGGCGAUCCAGCUCAGAGCAUCCUGCCGUGGGGGGCUUGCUCCCAGCAUCCUGGAGGAAACACUGAGCAGGUGGCACCUCCAGAACCUCCGUUAAGGGCGCCUCACCUCACCAUGGUGGUCCCAGGGUGGGGGAACCCAUGAGGACCUCAGUUGCCAGCCUUAUUGGGGCCCCAGGACACAGCAGACCCAUAGGGGCCCUCCGGGAGGAUGUCCUGGCUUCCCUGGACAUAAAGCUGUCCCAGGACCUACGCCUCAUUGAGGGGCCUCAAGGCCGAGGCCCUGGGCCUGGCCUCUCCUCCCCGCCACAGUGGAGCCCCUGCAGGCCUGACCAUCAGACCCCGGGGCCCACCAUCUCCCAGUUUUCAUUCUAGCAACAAGACAGCCCAGGAGUUUGGGGGUGGGGCAGGGAUGUGUCCCAGUUGGCUGUCCUCGCCAUGGGGCUCUUCUCCAUCCCUCGGGGCGGGAGGGGGCUGUUGGAGUGAGAGGGAAGGAGUCCUGCCCUCCCCUUUGCAAGGAGCCAGAGCUUCACUUGGGAGGCCUGCGAUGUUUAUGCAGUUCCAGGGCCACACUGGGCCAGGGCAGGGAACUGAGGACGGGAGUGGGAGGGGCUUUAGGAAAACCAGACCUACCACCUUCCCUCUGGCCCUCCCAAGAGAUGCAGCUCUCCCUAGUGAGAUGCUCUGGGAGUAGGGAGAGGGACAUGGAGGGGAGGAGAGCUGGCUUCAUGUGUGAGCUUCAUGAAAGCCAGACGGAGAUGGAGAGUCUUGGAGGUCCUCUCCGCCAGGAUUCCAGAUCUUUCCAGAGUGAUCUCAGGGCUUUGCAAAGCAGAAACCAGGCCCAGAUGGAAGCCCACAGGGAGACCUCACCCAGGGCUGUCGGCUCUUCAGAAAUGUCCCUUCCUGUGGCUGCAAGACUGUGGGUGAAUCCUGGGGUCCGGGCUUGGCUGCUGUGAGCCGCUGCCUCCCGGCUGAUAAACAUCGGCCCAGGGAGCUGAGACACCGAGGCCCUGGAGAAGACCAGUGCAGGUGAGAGGUGCUCUGCUAAAACCACAGCUUGGGGGUGGCGUCUCCACUCACACCCCGUACGGGAAAGCAGCUAUUUCUACAAUAACGGCUUCCACAUCGAUGGAAGGACCACCAGCAGGGCUGCAGGCCAGGUGGUCACUGCUAAACUCGCCUUGGAGAGAGGAAGCCUGGAUUAUCUGUCAGGUCCAGGGGGACGAUGCUCCAUUGGGCCCCCAGCUUCAUGGGGCUGCUACCUUGGUCUGGAGACCCUCCGUGUGUGAGGAGUUUGCACCCUUCAGAGUUUCAGCUGGAAAGUGGAUCUAUCGUCUUGGUGCUUCAGAGGAAACUUCUACAAUAUUCAGAUGGACGGGGCUCUCAGCCCCUCGACCACAAGGCUGUUCCAGCCUGAGCAGGGGUACCCUGCCCUGGAAUGAAUGAGCUCCGCAAAUACUCAUCUCUGGGCAGCUGCCAAGUCUGGCCCCACUCCAGAGGACCGAGUGCUUGCAUCUGUCCCACUUCCCUUGGCAUGAAGGCCCCUGGCUGUCAGGGUGGGGCAGAGCUCCAGAGCCAGCCUUGGUGCUGGGACCCGGCCGAGCGAGGAGCUGCGGUGCCCAGGCCACAUGGCGUUCCCUGGUGAGGAGACGAUGUGAUGGCCACCAACACCCUUGGAACCCGUGUCGGCCCCAGUGCGAGUCAAGUGGACCCCUGCUGUCCUCCCGAGAAGUGUGACCAUUUAGUCUGAGGGGAGGGACAGUGGCAUCCUGAACCCCCACAGUGGCUGAGAAGGCUUCCAGCUGCCCAGCUGCCCUCUCUGCCCAGGAGGAGACGCUAUGCCAAGGCCCAGCUGUGGGAGAGUCUGCGUUUCCCGUGCCAUCCACUUGGAAAGGGCCUUCGUGCAGUCAGGGACUGGUGUGAUGGGGAGAAGGAGCCCAGUUUUCUUCUUGGGCGUUCCAGCCAAAUCAGGCUUGUUGAAGCCCUUCCCUGACUGCCAAGAGGGAGACCACUGCCUCCAGCCGGGAGUGCAGGAUGCCCAUUCUCACGUGGAUUCUCGUCCAUUGGAAUCUGGAGACAGGCCUGGACUUGGAGCCUUCUGCUCGUUGUCUGACCACAGGCAAGCCACUCCACCUCUCUGAGCUUUGGUCUUCUCGUUUGCACAAUAGGCAACUGGAAGUGAAAGUAUGGUGAGUAGUUUCUAGACACCGGGCACUGCGUCAGGGGCUCUCGCACUUGUGUUCGUCAUAAGCUCCGUGGCUGCCACAUAGGUGGUGACUAUGCCGGGGACCACUGUCUGGCCCCAGAGGUGACUUAUUCUCUUUAUUCUGCUGCGAAACCCUCAGCCCCUCAACUGCAGAGAUUGCUCCUUCCAUUCUUGGCGCUCAGCCCUGUGACUCCCACAUGGAAGGUUCUUGACUAGAUGUUGCAUGGAUGCAUACUAAGUGGGAGGGAGCUCACUUCUGGCUUUCACACAUCAAAUUAAAUUUUCAUGAACUCAUGAAUCAACAAGAGAAACUAAGCAGCAUUUUACUGAACACCUACUAUGUCUGAUGAUUUACAUGGGUUUUCUUAUUUAGUCUUCACAGUAAUCCUGUGAAGUACUCUCUCUUCCGUUUUGCAAGUUAGGAAAUUGUGGAAGCUCACGCCUUGUCAAGAUUAGUCAACAUGUAAGAGGGAGGAGCAGGAUUUGAAUUGGAGUCUGAUCCCUCGGACUGUGCUCUUUGCAUUCCACCAGGCUGCCAACAGGGAGACGCCUGCUAGACCGUGGUUGUUACAAAGCAGAAUCGUGGUCUAGCAGGGGGAAUAAUGCAUCCCAACCAGCGUCAGAAGGAGGCGCCAGCAGAAGGCCCGCUGCUCCCACGGGCUAAGGGGAUGAAUGACGGAGGCCAGGACCUUCCCAGGGCGUGCCUGCAGGCUUCUCCACCUAGACUGUCGUGGCCCAACCUCAGGCCAGCCCAGGCAACAGCGAGGCAAGGCCCGGCCUGGGUCUGCCGCCUCUCAGCCCAUUGGCCCUGUGGAUGCUGCGUUGCAAAACCACACUGUUUUGUUCUGACUUCCUCUUGGGUUCCCAGGAAGUUUAUUUACAGAAGUAAAAUUGCCUCGUAACGUAAAAAAAUAUUUUUUUUGCUGUGGUAAAAUAUACACAACACAAAAUUUACCAUUUUAACCACUUAAUGUAAAAAUGUACAACUGCAUGGUGUUAGUUCACAAUGUGCACAUUCCAGAUGUUGCAUAGCCAUCACCGCCAUUUGUCCCCAG
rnacentral:lncRNA from 1 species